UGGGGAAUAUUGCACAAUGGGCGCAAGCCUGAUGCAGCCAUGCCGCGUGUAUGAAGAAGGCCUUCGGGUUGUAAAGUACUUUCAGCGGGGAGGAAGGUGUUGUGGUUAAUAACCGCAGCAAUUGACGUUACCCGCAGAAGAAGCACCGGCUAACCCCGUG
rnacentral:rRNA from 1 species